AGUUUGCAGGGGCCUUGUUAAAAAUUAAAGAAGCGAUCUGAUUGGUUACUAUUGGCAACUUGGCAACUUUUCCUCUGGACAGGUUCUGAUGGUAAAGAGUUGUGGCUGGAAAAAUAGUCAUGAUGCCCUGAGCCAGGAGAAGAAAAGGGAAAGUGAACAACUCUGAUCAGAGAAGUCGUCAUCUGUGAGUCCUGCAUGUAGCAACACUGUAAUUUACAUAGCUAACAGGCGGAUGCUAGGGGGAACACAUGUUUGCUUCAUACCAACCAGAGCUGCUGCCCUGCCCUCACCCAAGUCUCCUCUGAAAUGGACCUUUUCCUCACCACAUGAGGACAGGGUUAAGAAGAUCCAGUUGCAGCUACAAUUCUUUUCCAGAGUGAUAGCAAUCUUCCUAGGAUCCAGCUGACCAGACCUUGUACUGUCCAAAUCAAGUUUAGGAAAGUCAGCCCCCAAAAGGAAAGCAGGAGAUAGAAAUCGUUGAGCAACUCCAGUCCAAAUAGGUCCAGUCCGGCAGUAAGCUCUACUGCAGGAAUGCCAGGUGAAGAGUAAAGUCAGUGUCUGUAAGCACCCAAGUCUCCUAUCAGUUAGGCAACCCAAAUCCAGAGCAGUCUAAACAAUAUUAAGCAAACAAGAACAGGACUACAAGUCACACAGUACCCUGAAGCAACUAUGAUCCCUGCAGCAAACUUCUGUGAACUUUGCACUACUGGUUGAACCGUUCCUGUAAUGCUGCAAGUUCUUGAGUAAAAAUUUGU